rnacentral:rRNA from 1 species
GGAUCACGCCGGAGUCCGGUUGAUCCUGCCGGAAUUGGAUUCAACGCCGGAUUUCCGGCUGAUCCCGCCGGAAUUGGAUUCAACGCCGGGGUUCCGGUUGAUCCUGCCGGAAUUGGAUUCAACGCCGGGGUUCCGGUUGAUCCUGCCGGAAUUGGAUUCAACGCCGGAGUUCCGGUUGAUCCUGCCGGAAUUGGAGUCAACGCCGGGAUUCUGGUUGAUCCCGCCGGAAUUGGAUUCGACGCCGGAAUUCCGGUUGAUCCUGCCGGAAUUGGUUCAACGCCGGAAUUCCGGUUGAUCCUGCCGGAACUGGAUUCAACGCCGGAGUUCCGGUUGAUCCUGCCGGAAUUGGAUUCAAGGCCGGAGUUCCGGUUGAUCCUGCCGGAAUUGGAAUCAACGCCGGAGUUCCGGUUGAUCCCGCCGGAAUUGGAUUCAACGCCGGAA